rfam:Thermoanaerobacter sp. X514, complete genome.
AAACACCGAGCCCGGUAAAGUGAGGCCAACAGCCGGUACCAAGCCUUGGAGCCGAAGCCGCGAGGUUAGGUUUAAGCGUAGGCAUGGGAGUAAGCGAGCCGCAAUGCGAAAGCGUGAAGCGAUACAGCCCCGUUAGUUUAUGAAGUCGAAGCCGAUGCCGUCCUUUCGGCAGCAGGCAGCAAUCCGCAAACGAAAAGGCAAGAAUGCGGAGGUUCGGCCGGGGUCAGAGAGCG